rnacentral:rRNA from 1 species
CACGUAGGGCGCGAGCGUUGUCCGGAAUUAUUGGGCGUAAAGAGCUCGUAGGCGGCUUGUCGCGUCGUCCGUGAAAACUUGGGGCUCAACCCCAAGCUUGCGGUCGAUACGGGCAGGCUAGAGUGUGGUAGGGGAGAUCGGAAUUCCUGGUGUAGCGGUGAAAUGCGCAGAUAUCAGGAGGAACACCGGUGGCGAAGGCGGAUCUCUGGGCCAUUACUGACGCUGAGGAGCGAAAGCGUGGGGAGCGAACAGG